rnacentral:tRNA from 1 species
GACGAGACGACCGUGCCGGCGUGCGGCGCAAGCUUCAAACUUGUGAUGCCAGUCGCCUGCAAAGCGAGUGGUGCUGGGUUCGACUCCCAGUCUCGUC